CCUACGGGUGGCAGCAGUGGGGAAUAUUGCGCAAUGGGCGAAAGCCUGACGCAGCGACGCCGCGUGAGGGAUGAAGGUCUUCGGAUCGUAAACCCCUGUCAGCAGGGAAGAACGGUCACUGUGCUAUUCAGCAGUGCAUUGACGGUACCUGCAAAGGACGCACCAGCUAACUCCGUGCCCGCAGCCGCGGUAAUACGGAGGGUGCGAGCGUUAAUCGGAAUUACUGGGCGUAAAGCGCUCGUAGGCGGUAUGUCAAGUCAAGGGUGAAAUCCCCGCGCUCAACGUGGGAACUGCCUUUGAAACUGGCAGACUGGAGUGUGUGAGAGGAGAGUGGAAUUCGAGGUGUAGGAGUGAAAUCCGUAGAUAUCGGGAGGAACAUCAGUGGCGAAGGCGACUAUCGGGCACAUAACUGACGCUGAGGAGCGAAAGCGUGGGUAGCAAACAGGAUUAGAUACCCUAGUAGUC
rnacentral:rRNA from 1 species